rnacentral:lncRNA from 1 species
CAGAUUUGAGAGUCUGACAUAGGAGAAAUUCUGAGGGAUAUUAUAUGGGACCUAUUUUUCUGAUAGUAUGAAGAAAAACUUAAAGAUAAUCUGAGGAGAACGAGAUAGGGAGAUCGAUCUGUACAGGACUUUACGUGAGGGAGUUUGGUCGAGUUCUAAACAGCACAGGAUGAGUGGUAUAAAGCAUAUUUAUUUGAGAGAGGAUUACGAUCAGAUAUUCAUCAGUUUGUAUAGCCGCAACUUUUUCAGACUUUGGAUGAGGUGAUUGAGAUGGCAUUAUGGGUUGAAAGAGGUGCGACAGUAAUGAAGGAACAGCAGAAAUAUGAAAAAAGGAAAAUGAGGAGAAGAAACCGACAGAAAGUGGUAGGAAGUUAUCUAGUAAAAAAAGACCGCCAAAGUAUUCACGAUAUCACUUUCAGGGUCGUGGGUCUUUCGCGGGACGAAGGUCUGGAGGUCCGGAGCAGCGGCGGCGGCAACAGAAAAGAUGUCUGAUUUGUGGUGGGCCACACUUACCUCAUAUGUGUGCUCAGCAAG